GCGGCAUGCCUAACACAUGCAAGUCGACCGCUGUGCUUGCACAGAGGGGCGAACGGGUGAGUAACACGUAUCUAACCUACCUUUUAGUCUGGAAUAACUGUGGGAAACUGCAGCUAAUGCCGGAUAGAAGUCCAUUGGAAUCACUGGAGGACCAAAGAUCCGUUUGGAUCGCUAUUAGAUGGGGAUGCGGCGUAUUAGUUAGUUGGUGAGGUAAUGGCUCACCAAGACGAUGAUGCAUAGCCGACCUGAGAGGGUGAUC
rnacentral:rRNA from 1 species